CCUACGGGGGGCAGCGGUGGGGAAUAUUGGACAAUGGGCGAAAGCCUGAUCCAGCCAUGCCGCGUGUGUGAAGAAGGCCUUCGGGUUGUAAAGCACUUUCAGUGGGGAAGAAAGCCUUGGGGCUAAUACCCUCGAGGAAGGACAUCACCCACAGAAGAAGCACCGGCUAACUCCGUGCCAGCAGCCGCGGUAAUACGGAGGGUGCGAGCGUUAAUCGGAAUUACUGGGCGUAAAGCGCGCGUAGGCGGUCUGAUAAGCCGGUUGUGAAAGCCCCGGGCUCAACCUGGGAACGGCAUCCGGAACUGUCAGGCUAGAGUGCAGGAGAGGAAGGUAGAAUUCCCGGUGUAGCGGUGAAAUGCGUAGAGAUCGGGAGGAAUACCAGUGGCGAAGGCGGCCUUCUGGACUGACACUGACGCUGAGGUGCGAAAGCGUGGGUAGCAAACAGGAUUAGAUACCCGAGUAGUC
rnacentral:rRNA from 1 species